UUGUGGAGAAGGACGCCGAAGGUGGGGCUGAUGACUGGGGUGAAGUCGUAACAAGGUAGCCGUACCGGAAGGUGCGGCUGGAUCACCUCCUAACAGGGAGACAAUAAAUAGAUUGUGAUGUCUAAGUAAUUUAUUCUUAGGCCGCAAUCCUGUCACCUUAAGGUCGAUCGGUACCUCAGAUUUUUGAAUUAACUUAGAUAAUUCAUGAAUUUCAGUUCCUAAACUUGUCUAGGUCACACCCAACAAGGUUUUCUCCUGGGCCAUUAGCUCAGGUGGUUAGAGCGCACCCCUGAUAAGGGUGAGGUCCCUGGUUCAAGUCCAGGAUGGCCCAUUCGGUGUUGGGGGUUUAGCUCAGUUGGUAGAGCGCCUGCUUUGCAAGCAGGAUGUCAGCGGUUCGAGUCCGCUAACCUCCACUGACGAAUCUUCUGACAACGAGCCAAUGGUGAGAAUCGUUGUGUGAUGUGAUUUAGAAUUUAAGUUUGCUGGCAGACCCUAGCUUCUUAUCAUUCCAGGCCUUAAUCAAUUGAGGUUAGGUUGAUAGGACGCUGGGCUCACUGUAAUUCGCAAGAAUUGCAGAGAUGUUCAGCAGAACCUUGACAACUGCAUAGGUAAGUCUAGAAAAGAAAAAGCAUCUCAUAGAUGCAUAAUUACUUAAUUGAGGUAAUUAUGUUUAAUUCUUGAGUUAGAGCUGAGACUCUAUAUCUAAACUUUUAUGCAAAAUGCAUUAAACUUUAGAUUAACAAUUCCUUGAAUUCUUGAUCUGAAGUUAGUUGAUGUAGAGAUUAUUGGUCAAGCUACAA
rnacentral:misc_RNA from 1 species